CAAACUUUAUUUAUGGCCCAUCGUUAGAAACUAAUAGUAUUUAGUAAUUCAUAAAUUGACCUAUACAAAUCAUAAUUUAAAAAUAAUGACAAGUGCUAGUCGAAAAUUAUCAAACAACUUGCCCCUUCUUAAAAUCGUGAACUCAGGUUUCUUCUCGCCCCUUCUUAAAAUCUUCACGUUUCCACCGGCGGCCGAUGAUCUCCUCGGAAUUAACGGCUCAAAUUAUUUCUGGUUCUGACUCUUGUUGUUCAAUUUCUUCGUUUCCGUUCUGAC
rnacentral:lncRNA from 1 species